GGGUCGGAGAGAAGGUUGGCAUUCCCCUUGACAAGGAUGGAAGAGGCUCUUGGGCCUGACAACAAGCAUUUAGUAAAGGCAUUGCCACCUACUUCGUGGCAUCUAACCAUUAUUAAAU
rnacentral:ncRNA from 1 species